AACUACUCCGGUUUUCCCGUAAUUAGUACGGUUUUCAUCAACCUAUUCCGGGUUACGGUUGCAGUGAUAAAAAAUACGGUUUUUCAUUAAUUAAAAAAAAAAUUUUUUUUUUAAGUUUUAUUCACGAAAUCGCGUAACAACAAUGACAAUCGACACUGCUUCCCGUAACUUCCUAUCGAGCCAUUCCGAAUGCCAUGUGUAACACGGGUGGGAAAUAAGCCAUAUUUCCUCUCAUGACAUCUCAUAUUACCUGCACCGUUUCCACGUUUAAUCUCGCGAGUUUAACACACGCGCUCACGUGACCCGCUGCAGCCAAUCACGCUCUAUAAAAUCCAGCAUUCCGAGAUGGCUGCCAGGUGCGGUGGCUAAGCCUGGGGACAUAUGAAGCCGGUAUGUUUUAAAGUUGUCGUUUGCUUGCAUAUUGUAAAAACAACCGUCCAACAUUUUACAACUAAUUGUAAACUUGUAGGUGCCGAACAUCAGGGACGUGUUGCGACGAGAGAGUGUGUCGAUGAUAAGAUAUUAAGCCGAGUUGGCCAGGUCCCUAAGUCUUGGAUGGCGAGCUGUAGAUAGGCCUCGAGCCUGAGCCCAAGGAUCUCCACCUCUCAACCCCUGAACUCCACCUGCUCUGGUCGGGCCGGUAGGCGGCUUAUAGCCGAACCCCUUGCCUCGCACCUCAUUGCUCUGCGGCCCUUUGCACUACCUCAUACACACCCUGCCCAUACACUAAACUCUCACUACAAACUGCCAUACCCACAACCCCAAACCGUGUGGCUGUAUGAACUCUGAAUGCGCAUAUGGACUGCGAUCAGUCUCAUAUGACCUUUUAAGAACUUUUGAUACUACCUGUUAUGAAUUACCUGAACCAUUGCUGUUUUUUUCUUUUGUUUUGAAUGGCCAUUCCUAUCAAUGUAUGUCCACUAUUUGUUGCACUGUACAUAUUUAAAUAACACCAGUAUAAUUUAAAGCA